rnacentral:rRNA from 1 species
UACGGGGGGAGCAAGCGUUGUUCGGAUUUACUGGGCGUAAAGGGCGCGUAGGCGGCCACUGCAAGUCAGUUGUGAAAUCUCCGGGCUUAACCCGGAAAGGUCAGCCGAUACUGCGGGGCUAGAGUGCAGAAGGGGCAACUGGAAUUCUCGGUGUAGCGGUGAAAUGCGUAGAUAUCGAGAGGAACACCUGCGGCGAAGGCGGGUUGCUGGGCUGACACUGACGCUGAUGCGCGAAAGCUAGGGGAGCGAACGGG